rnacentral:rRNA from 1 species
GACAGAGGGUGCAAACGUUGUUCGGAAUUACUGGGCGUAAAGCGCACGUAGGCGGCUUUGUAAGUUAGAGGUGAAAGCCCGGGGCUCAACUCCGGAAUUGCCUUUAAGACUGCAUCGCUAGAAUUGUGGAGAGGUAAGUGGAAUUCCGAGUGUAGAGGUGAAAUUCGUAGAUAUUCGCAAGAACACCAGUGGCGAAGGCGGCUCACUGGCCCGGUACUGACGCUGAGGUGCGAAAGCGUGGGGAGCAAACAGG